ensembl:lncRNA
AGAGAGAGAGCGAGAACAGACCAAUAGUCAGGUACUCUGGAGACAGAGAGAGAGAGCGAGAACAGACCAAUAGUCAGGUACUCUGGAGAGAGAGAGAGCGAGAACAGAUCAAUAGUCAGGUACUCUGAGAGAGAGAGAGAGAGAGAGCGAGAACAGACCAAUAGUCAGGUACUCUGGAGAGAGAGAGAGAGCGAGAACAGACCAAUAGUCAGGUACUCUGGAGAGAGAGAGAGCGCGAGAACAGACCAAUAGUCAGGUACUCUGGAGAGAGAGAGAGAGCGAGAACAGACCAAUAGUCAGGUACUCUGGAGAGAGAGAGAGAGCGAGAACAGACCAAUAGUCAGGUACUCUGGAGAGAGAGAGAGCGCGAGAACAGACCAAUAGUCAGGUACUCUGGAGAGAGAGAGAGAGAGAGAACAGACCAAUAGUCAGGUACUCUGGAGAGAGAGAGAGAGCGAGAACAGACCAAUAGUCAGGUACUCUGGAGAGAGAGAGAGCGCGAGAACAGACCAAUAGUCAGGUACUCUGGAGAGAGAGAGAGAGCGAGAACAGACCAAUAGUCAGGUACUCUGGAGAGAGAGAGAGAGCGAGAACAGAACAAUAGUCAGGUACUCUGGAGAGAGAGAGAGAGAGAGCGAGAACAGACCAAUAGUCAGGUACUCUGGAGAGAGAGAGAGAGAGCGAGAACAGAACAAUAGUCAGGUACUCUGGAGACAGAGAGAGAGAGCGAGAACAGACCAAUAGUCAGGUACUCUGGAGACAGAGAGAGCGAGAACAGACCAAUAGUCAGGUACUCUGGAGAGAGAGAGAUAUGACAGCAUUCCCUCCCCCAUCUGCCCCCCUAGACAAUCUACCACAACAUAACCAACAAAAACAGGGCACAACUCCUGCAGCUCUGUCACACGCUGGGUAUGUACAUAGUCAAUGGUAGACUUCGAAGAGACUCCUAUGGUAGGUACACCUAUAGCUCAUCUCUUGGCAGUAGUACUGUAGACUACUUUAUCACUGACCUCAACCCAGAGUCUCUCAGAGCGUUCACAGUCAGCCCACUGACACCCCUAUCAGACCACAGCAAAAUCACAGUCUACUUGAACAGAGCAAUACUCAAAUCAUGAGGCAUCAAAGCCAAAGGAACUGAAUAAUAUUAAGAAAUGCUAUAGAUGGAAGGAAAGUAGGUUGAAAAGAUACCAAAAAACAAUUAGGCAACAACAAACUCAUUCCCUUUUAUACAACUUCCUGGACAAAACGUUUACACUAGGUCUAAACUUGGCAUUAGAAAACCUAAACAAUAUAUAAUAUCACUCAUCGUCUCUGUCUCUGUCUCUCUCUCUCUGUCUCUCUCUCUGUCUCUCUGUCUGUCUCUCUCUCUGUCUCUCUCUCUGUCUCUCUCUCUCCUAGGACUACCUGGCAUGAUGACUCCUUGCUGUCCCCAGUCCACCUGACCAUGCUGCUGCUCCAGUUUCAACUGUUCUGCCUGCGGCUAUGGAAUCCUGACCUAUUCACCGGACGUGCUACCUGUCCCAGACCUGCUGUUUUCAACGCUUUAGAGUUGGGCCUUCCUAGGGAGUUUUUCCUAGCCACCGUGCUUCUACACCUGCAUUGCUUGCUGUUUGGGGUCUUAGGCUGGGUUUCUGUACAGCACUUUGAGAUAUCAGCUGAUAUAUCGGCUAUAUAAAUACAUUUGAUUUGAUGGGGGAAAACAUACAUUAUAAAAUUAGUGUCAAAAAACACACAUUUCUUUCCACAGGGCCGUGAGGUGAGACAGGGAUGCAGCUUAAGCCCCACCCUCUUCAACAUGUAUUACAACGAAUUGGCGCAAGCACUACAACAGUCUGCAGCACCCAGCCUCACCCUACUAUAAUCUGAAGUCAAAUGUCUACUGUUUGCUGAUGAUCUGGUACUUCUGUCACCAACCAAGGAGGGCCUACAGCAGCACCUAGAUCUUAUGCACAGAUUCUGCCAGACCUGGGCCCUGACAGUAAAUCUCAGUAAGACAAAAAUAAUGGUGUUUGAAACAUGGUCAAGUUGCCAGGACAACAAAUACAAAUUCCAUCUAGACACUGUUGCCCUGGAGCACACAAACAACUAUACAUACCUCGGCCUAAACAUCAGCGCUCUAGAGCACACAAACAACUAUACAUACCUCGGCCUAAACGUCAGCGCUCUAGAGCACACAAACAACUAUACAUACCUCGGCCUAAACAUCAGCGCCACAGGUCAUUUCCACAAAGCAGCUAACGAUCUGGGACAAGGCAAGAAGGGCCUUCUAUGCCAUCAAAAGGAACAUCAAAUUCGACAUAGCAAUUAGAAUUUGGCUAAAAAUACGAAUCGGUUAUAGAACCCAUUGCCCUUUAUGGUUGUGAGGUCUGGGGUCCGCUCACCAACCAAAAAUUCACAAAAUGGGACAAACACCAAAUUGAGAGUCUGCAUGCAGAGGGCAGCAAAAAUAUUCUCAGUGUGAGAAUGAAGAGCAGAAUAAGGCCGAUACCCGCUAAUUAUUAAAAUCCAGAAAAUAGCCAUUCAAUUCUACAACCACCUAAAAGAAGUGAUUCCCAAAACUUCCAUAACAAAGCCAUCACCUACAGAGAGAUGAACCUGGAUAAGAGUACCCGAAGCAAGCUGGUCCUGGGGCUCCGUUCACAAACACAAACAGACCCCACAGAGCCCCAGGACAGCAACACAAUUAGACCCAACCAAAUCACGAGAAAACAAAAAGAUAAUUAUUUCCAAUGUGUCAUGUAAUUAACAAAAAAGCUGAGCAAACUAGAAUGCUAUUUGUCCCUAAACUGAGAGUACACAGUGGUAGAAUACCUGACCACUGUGACUGACCCAAACAUAAGGACCUUGACUAUGUACAGACUCAGUGAGAAUAGCCUUGCUACUGAGAAAGACCGCCGUAGGCAGACCUGGCUCUCAAGAGAAGGCAGGCUAUGUGCUCACUGCCCACAAAAUGAGGUGGAAACUGAGCUGCACUUCCUAACCUCCUUCCCAAUGUAUGACCAUAUUAGAGACACAUAUUUCCCUCAGAUUACACAGAUCCACAAAGAAUUGGAGAAAAAAUAUCCAACUUUGAUAAACUUCAAUAUCUAUUGGGUGAAAUACCACUAACACCUCUGUCUGAUCACAGCCAAAUUACAUUGUUCCUCAAAAUAACAAACAUGGCAACAACCACACAUCCACAGCCCAGUCAGCUGUACAACAUCACAGCCCAGUCAGCUGUACAACACCAGACAUCCACAGCCCAGUCAGCUGUACAACAUCAGACAUCCACAGCCCAGUCAGCUGUACAACAUCACAGCCCAGUCAGCUGUACAACAUCACAGCCCAGUCAGCUGUACAACAUCACAGCCAAGUCAGCUGU